GGUGUUGUGCUGGGUGAUGUCUAGUGGCU
rnacentral:piRNA from 1 species